rnacentral:lncRNA from 1 species
UUUUAAAUCAAAUGAUUAGAAUUCUGGAUGAAACCGAAUAAUGGCAAAAAAUAAUUCUCCAUAAAAUGAUGCAUCCUUUUAAACAUGGAUAUCCAACAACUUGCAAUAUAUUCAGAAUUUUGUUAAAAAAAUUUAAGUUUCCAUCUGCACUAUGGCAUUGUGGGUUACUGACCAAGUGAUUUGUGGAUGGGCGAGUACCAACCAAAAUUUACCAAACGGGAGGGAGGGCAGUAAGGGGGUCAGGACUUGUAGUGGGGGAUGAUAGGCAAUAAAAGGGGAAUAGGGACUGUAGUGGGUGCUUAGUGGCAAUAGUGAUGGGUUAGGGGCUGUAGUGGGUGCUUAGUGGCAAUAGUGGGGGGUUAGGACCUGUAGUAGGUGGUUAGAGGCACUAGUGGGGGGUUAGAACCUGUAGUAGGUGGUUAGAGGCAAUAUUGGGGGGUUAGUACCUGUAGUAGGUGGUUAGAGGCAAUAUUGGAGGGUUAGGACCUGUAGUAGGUGGUUAGAGGCAAUAGUCGGGGUUUGGGCCUGUAGUAGGUGGUUAGAGGCAAUAGUGGGGGUUAGGGCCUAUAGUAGGUGUUUAGAGGCAAUAGUGCGGGGUUAGGACCUGUUGUAGGUGGUUAGAGGCAAUAGUGGGGGGUUAGGACCUGUAGUAGGUGGUUAGAGGCAAUAUUGGAGGGUUAGGACCUGUAGUAGGUGGUUAGAGGCAAUAGUCGGGGUUUGGGCCUGUAGUAGGUGGUUAGAGGCAAUAGUGGGGGUUAGGGCCUAUAGUAGGUGGUUAGGGGCAAAGUGGGGGGUAGGACCUGUAGUAGGUGGUUAGGGGCAAAUAGUGGGGGUUAGGGAACCUAUAGUAGGUGGUUAGGGGCAAAGUGGGGGGUUAGGACCUGUAGUAGGUGGUUAGGGGCAAAGUGGGGGGGUUAGGACCUGUAAUAGGUGGUUAGAGGCAAUAGUGGGGGGUUAGAACCUGUAGUAGGUGGUUAGAGGUAAUAGUGGGGGGUUAGGACCUGUAGUAGGUGGUUAGAGGCAAUAGUGGGGGGGUUGGGACCUGUUGUAGGUGGUUAGUGGCAAUAGUGGGGAGGUUAGGACCUGUACUAGGUGGUUAGAGGCAAUAGUGGAGGGUUAGAACCUGUAGUAGGUGGUUAG